rnacentral:rRNA from 1 species
GUGACGAAGCGACGCCGCGUGUGGGAAGAAGGCCUUCGGGUUGUAAACCACUGUCGGGAGUUACGAAGUGUAAGGGUACUAAUAGUGUCCUUACUUGACAAAGGCUCCGGAGGAAGCCACGGCUAACUCUGUGCCAGCAGCCGCGGUAAUACAGAGGCGGCAAGCGUUGUUCGGAAUUAUUGGGUGUAAAGAGCACGUAGGCGGCCAUGCAAGUCUGUUGUGAAAGCCUUCCGCUCAACGGAAGAACUGCAGCAGAUACUGCAUGGCUAGAGUGCGGGAGGGGAGAGUGGAACUUCUGGUGGAGCGGUGAAAUGCGUAGAUAUCAGAAGGAACGCCGGCGGCGAAAGCGACUCUCUGGCCCGUAACUGACGCUGAGUGUGCGAAAGCUAGGGGAGCAAACGGGAUUAGAUACCCCGGUAGUCCUAGCCGUAAACGAU